rnacentral:rRNA from 1 species
GAUGAACGCUGGCGGCGUGCCUAAUACGUGCAAGUCGAGCGAACAGACGAGGAGCUUGCUCCUCUGACGUUAGCGGCGGACGGGUGAGUAACACGUGGAUAACCUACCUAUAAGACUGGGAUAACUUCGGGAAACCGGAGCUAAUACCGGAUAAUAUAUUGAACCGCAUGGUUCAAUAGUGAAAGACGGUUUUGCUGUCACUUAUAGAUGGAUCCGCGCCGCAUUAGCUAGUUGGUAAGGUAACGGCUUACCAAGGCAACGAUGCGUAGCCGACCUGAGAGGGUGAUCGGCCACACUGGAACUGAGACACGGUCCAGACGCCUACGGGAGGCAGCAGUAGGGAAUCUUCCGCAAUGGGCGAAAGCCUGACGGAGCAACGCCGCGUGAGUGAUGAAGGUCUUCGGAUCGUAAAACUCUGUUAUUAGGGAAGAACAAAUGUGUAAGUAACUAUGCACGUCUUGACGGUACCUAAUCAGAAAGCCACGGCUAACUACGUG